GUUGUAGCUCAGUGGUAGAGCACUUGCCUAACAUGUGUGAGGCACUGGGUUCGAUCCUCAGCAUAACA
rnacentral:tRNA from 1 species